rnacentral:tRNA from 1 species
GGAUGGAUGGUGUAGUUGGUUAUCACGUCUGUCUAACACACAGACGGUCCUCAGUUCGAACCUGGGUCGCUUCA